ACUAACAGGAUUCCCUUAGUAACUGCGAGUGAAGAGGGAAAAGCUCAAAUUUAAAAUCUGGCAGUGUUUCACUGUCCGAGUUGUAACCUAGAGAAGUGUAACCUGUGCUGGACCGUGUAUAAGUUUCCUGGAAUGGAGCAUCACAGAGGGUGAGAAUCCCGUCUUUGACAUGGACUACCAGUGCAUUGUGGUUGUGCUCUCAACGAGUCGAGUUGUUUGGGAAUGCAGCUCUAAAUGGGUGGUAAAUUCCAUCUAAAGCUAAAUAUUGGCGAGAGACCGAUAGCGAACAAGUACCGUGAGGGAAAGAUGAAAAGAACUUUGGAAAGAGAGUUAAACAGUAUGUGAAAUUGUUGAAAGGGAAACGUUUGAAGUCAGUCGCGUUAGCUGGGGAUCAGCCUGACAUUGUUGGGUGCACUUCCUGGUUGACGGGCCAACAUCAGUUUUGACUGCCAGAAAAAGGCCAAGGGAAUGUGGCACCUUUGGGUGUGUUAUAGCCUUUGGUCAUAUAUGGUGGUUGGGACUGAGGAACGCAGUGUGCCGAAAGGCCGGGUUUCGACCACGUUCACACUGAGGAUGUUGGCAUAAUGGCUUUAAGCGACCCGUCUUGAAACACGGACCAAGGAGUCUAACAUGCAUGCGAGUGUUUGGGUGGAAAACCCUUACGCGUAAUGAAAGUGAAAGUUGAGAUCCCUGUCGUGGGGAGCAUCGACGCCCGGACCAGAACUUUUGUGACGGAUCUGCGGUAGAGCACGUAUGUUGGGACCCGAAAGAUGGUGAACUAUGCCUGAAUAGGGUGAAGCCAGAGGAAACUCUGGUGGAGGYUGGUAGCGAUUCUGACGUGCAAAUCGAUCGUCAAAUUUGGGUAUAGGGGCGAAAGA
rnacentral:rRNA from 1 species